ensembl:lincRNA
GGGGCGUGCUGUAUGAACUGUCCAAUCAGGUGGGCCGGCAGAAGAGGGCUUUAUUUCCUGGCACGGAAGCGCAGACCCCUAGCAGGGUUGGUCCCUGUGCUUUAGGGUGUGCACAGGCUGCGGGUUGUAGGGGACGGACUGGAGGAAACCCCCGAGCCACGCAGCGGUGUGGGUCGCUGCCCUGAGGCAGGCGGGGCCGUUCAGCGUGAGGUCGGGCGGAAGCAGGGGAGCAGCCCUAGCCCAGGCCCGGUUUGUGUACCCGGCACGCCGUCUCCACCGCCACCCCGCCAGCCUGGAGCGCAGUCCCCGGCAGCUGCAGCCUCGGCCCACAGCCGCGCCUCCUGGGGAGCUGCGGAGACCCUGAUCUCAGUGGGGAGUCGGGUGGUGGACUGCGGUGCUCAGGACUCCUUGUCCCCUUGUCUCUCCAGCAGAUCUGGAGCACCUCGGUUUUAUUGCUGCCUGGGAUGCAGGGUCUCAGAGCCACACCUUAGAUCCCAGGCCCGCGCUGCUCUGUGGAGAGAGUAAAUUGCUCAAGUAAUUCCGAUCUGUACCCGCAUUGAUUAAUGCCAUGGAAUUGAAAGAAAGGUCUGCCGGGUGUCUUAGUGGGCACCAGUAAUCCCAGCAUUUGGGAGGCUGAGGCAGGACAUUCAGAUCAUCUUCAAUUUAUUUUACUGUUUUUUAAAAUUUGUGUAUUGGUACAUUUUAUGUAUACAGUAUGAUGACAUUCACCAUUGGGAAUUUCCAACUUUACAUGAUGUAUCUUGGUUCUUAUUUUUUCCCCAUUCCCCUGCCCUCCCUUCAACCCCUGUAACCCCUCCCUAUUUACAAAGGCUUUGUUUUUUCCUUUUCUCAUUUUUUUUUUCCUUCUUUCCUUUCCCUUCUCCCUCACAUUCCCCUUCCCUUUGGACCUUUUCUUCCUAAUUCACUACCUAUUAUACAUUUUGAUUAUCACUUACACUUUCAGUUUCUCACACUAGAGUAACUAUUCAGUAUUUACACAAGUGUCCUAUUUACUUAGCUUAAGAGUAUGGCCUCAAGGUGCAUCCAUUUGUUACAGAAGGAAUCAGUAAGUGACACACAGAGAGGCAGCAGAAUGGAAGUAAAAUAACGAAUUUUCUCAUCGAUAAGGGUCGAUCGCACAUAAGCAGUGUCUGGGUUACAACUCCUCCUUUUAUAGGGUUUCACAGCCUUGACUUCAUUUGGGUGGUUACAUUUUAUCCUCACAGUUCAAAUCAGUCACAGAAUAGUUAAUCUUUUCAACCCAGAUGUAACAGUUCUUUGCAGUUGGGGAGUCUACCUUUAAGAUUCGCCUAGUUUUCUAUUCUAGUCCAUAGGAAGGGGGUGUUCAGGGUCGGGGGAGCAAAUGUUAGCAAUGGGUUCUUUCAUUUAGACACUUUUACGAUCAGGUGGCUCCAGUCUCAUCAGAGUUGAAGACCUUGAUGUGCCCUGUUAUCUCAGGUAAGACCAAUGCCUCAUUCAGCAAUUAGUGCCUUUGGUGCCUAUUAGUUUUGAGCUAAACAAACAAACUGCUGCUAGAGACAGCAGAAGCCACUGUACAUUGUAACACUUUAUAGGUUUUUGCUAUUUAUAAAGGUUUCCCUAUCACAAAUACACACAAAGUUUUUCUGUGUUGAUUUCUAAUGCUGAAUCAUU